GCCAAUGUAAUUAUGUGUAUGUUUUUACUGUAGUCUAAUCUCAGGUCCAGGGGGUGUGCCCCUUGCAUGGGGACCUGCAUAUAAGGCUAGUUGAGGCUGCCAUUAAACAGUUCAUCUUCACCCUCAACACAGAGCCUCGUCUCAUGAUUGUCGGGAACAGCUAUACCAGCUACAAUCACCAGCUCUUGUAAGAGCUACACUGCUAUACCUGCCAUACUGUCUUGGAGAAGAGGUCUUCUCACUGGGAGCUGGAUCUGGGAGUUUGGUCCAGGGUGAGAAGGGACGGCAAG